GGCAGGCUCAGUGGGUCUCUGUGGGUCUCUAUGGGUCAGAUGUGGGUCUCAGUGGGUCCCUGUGGGUCGCAGUGGGUCAGAUGUGGGGCAGGGCGGGCAGGCUCUGGAUGUGGGUCAGAUGUGGGUCUCAGUGGGUCUCUAUGGGUCGGC
rnacentral:lncRNA from 1 species